AAGGCGCCUGCGCUAAACCGGCUUCUCGGCGCCAUUUUGUCUGAGCGGUGGUGGUCGCAGCUCUAUCGCAUUUUAUGUUUCUGGUGAGAGGAGAGCCGGGGCGUUUUCCUGUAGCUUCAUUUUAGUGCGGUACCUAUCCGCCGUUCACUCCGGGACAGCACCUGGUGAAGGUUGGAGGAGUCGGGGACGUGUCAAAAAGGUCGGUUGGAAGCUGUGGAUGUCCGAGGGACUGGGGGAUGGCGCAGCUUUAGAGGCACCGGCACCGGAAGUGGAAGGGCCGCGCGGCGGCCAUGGCAAAUUGCUCUGAAGAAAACAAGACCUUCAGUGAAAUAUCCUAAGUAUUACUGAGAUCUCUGUAUGAAUAAUGGAAGUAGAAGCAAGUGGAUAGGCUUAUCAUGUAACAAUAUCAGGAAGGUUUAUAAUAAUACGGUACUGGAGCAGGAGAGGGAUAAGCAGGGUCCAUGCUCACAGGGAGCCAGGUGCAGGGCUUGAUCCCAGGACCCU